rnacentral:sRNA from 1 species
GACGCCAGAGUCAAAAGGGCAUGCUUUUCAUGCUUGCAUGAAAAAGCAUGCCCUUUGGGGGCCGCAAAAACAUGAGAAAAUAGCCCGAUCGGGCCGAUUUCGAAUGUUUUUCGGAUUGCGGGAGUAUGAAAUGCGGAGCAAUCCGUAGCAUC